GAUGAACGCUGGCGGCGUGCUUAACACAUGCAAGUCGAACGAUGAACCUCACUUGUGGGGGGAUUAGUGGCGAACGGGUGAGUAACACGUGAGUAACCUGCCCUUAACUCUGGGAUAAGCCUGGGAAACUGGGUCUAAUACCGGAUAUGACUCCUCAUCGCAUGGUGGGGGGUGGAAAGCUUUUUGUGGUUUUGGAUGGGCCCGCGGCCUAUCAGCUUGUUGGUGGGGUAAUGGCCUACCAAGGCGACGACGGGUAGCCGACCUGAGAGGGUGACCGGCCACACUGGGACUGAGACACGGCCCAGACUCCUACGGGAGGCAGCAGUGGGGAAUAUUGCACAAUGGGCGAAAGCCUGAUGCAGCGACGCCGCGUGAGGGAUGACGGCCUUCGGGUUGUAAACCUCUUUCAGCAGGGACGAAGCGCAAGUGA
rnacentral:rRNA from 1 species